AGGUGUCCAAGAAUCAUGUAGAUGUGGCACUGAGGGACUUGGUUUAGUGGGUAUUGUGGUAAUGAGUUGACUUUUUGACUUCAUCUUAUAAGUCUUUUCCAACUGUAAUGAUUCUACGACUGGGACAGGCUGCCCAGAGAAGUGGUGCAGUCACCAUCCCUGAGGGUAUAGAAGAGAUAUGUAGAUGUGGGACUGAGGGACAUGGUUUAGUGGUGGACUUGGUAGAAUCGUAGAAUAUCCCAAUUUGGAAAGGACCCAUAAGGAUCACAUAAUCAUAGAAUAAUCUGAGUUGAAAGGGACCCACAUGGAUCAUUGAGUCCAACUCCUGACUCUGCAUAGGACCACCCAAAAAUCAGACCAUGUCUGAGUGUGUUGUCCAUAUGCUACUUCAACUCAAGCAAGCUCAGUGCUGUGACUACUGUUCCAGUGUCCGACCACCCUCUUGGUGAAGAACCUUUUCCUGAUACCCAACCUGAACCUCCCUGGUAGUGUUAAUUAAUUAAUGGUUGGACAUGAUGAUCUUGAAGUAUUUUCCAAUCUAAAUGAUUUUAUGAUUGCAAAUAAGCAUACCAGUUGCAGGGAGAUGUGAAAGUAGCUUCAGACGAGCUUGCUCUGGGGUCUCUGGCCUCACUUCUUUUCCAUGGUGGCACUUGUUGUCUCGACUGUUCUCUUAUUUCAAGACUGGGUAUGUUCUCUUUCAAGAAAAUACUUACACAUGACUACAUGUUCACAUGCUUGUCAGUCACUGAGUGUAUUUAACAUCUGAAGUCUGAAGCAGUCAUUUUAAAAGCCCCUAUUACUCUGCUCCUACCUUUAGUGGCAUUUGAGUUCCAUUUUUGCAUUUCUCCUUGUCCUCGGCAGCCCUGGCUUGAGCAGAUCCCAGAUCCUCUGUUCUAUGAUUCUAUAAAAUAUCCGAAGCCAAUCAAUCAGGUAAGUUCUGGACAGGAUACAGAUGCAUCAAGUGCCAUAUAAAAGCAAAUAGAAAAUAUCUUUUAAUCACAGGUGUAACAUUGCUGUGUCUACCUUAUGUAAAAGAACUGGGCUAUUAGAAUAGUUACUAAAAAAAUAAAAAUAAAAAUAAACAAAAAGGUAGGAAGCUUCAUUAUAGUUUGCCAUGUAUUGUCUUUCCUUCUUAUUGAAUGAUGGAGUAAUAGCUUUAAAAAGACUCAUUGACUUCCUUAGCCCAGAAGGUUUGUACAUGUCUCUGUCAGGCUCCUGGGAGCUCCUUCCCCAGCAGACUUGCAGGCUAGACCAGACAGCAAAUACACUCUUCCAACUGAAGCUGGAUCGCUGUGCAGAAAUAGAGGAAGGAAGGAAGAAGGAUUUCAGUUAUUUUAUAAUUAUUGGUCUGAGGAUCACUAUUGAUGCUCCUGCCAGAAAAGGUAGAAAAGUGCUAAUUAAAAUUACUGAUGACAGAAUGUUGGGAGGCUUUCAAUAAGGAGGAUGUUCGCAGUAACACGCAGGCAAAAAUAGAAUACUCUUGAGGACUGGGAUAGAGAAAAAUGGGAGGAAAUACAUGAGUAAAAACAGGACUAUGUUUUCUGUGUAAUAUGAAGGGAAGGGAGGACUAUGUUUUCUGUGUAAUAUGAAGGGAAGGGAGGAGAGGUGCAAUACUGGAAACAGAAAAUGGAGCUUUAUGCAUUUUUAUGAUAUGGUGAUAGGGAAUUACGCUAAAUGACUUGUCCAAGGAUUUGACCCCAAACACUCAUUGUUUCUCCUUUGUCUCAGCCUUUGUCCAAAGAUGUCAAAGUGCUCCAGCCUCUGAACAAACUUAGGAAGAUGUGAAGAAGACGUUGUGGAAAGCUGAGACAGUAUUUGAGUUCCCCCAUUCACUCAUUUACUGAGUGAACAGGUCUGAAAGCAUUUAGCUCCUCUCCAGGGCUGUGUCCUUGGAUUCUCUGGGAAGCAUCAGUGUACCAGUUCUCCAAGUUUUACAGACAACAAAGCUACUAAGAGAUAUAUGGCUGAUUUACAGAGGAGACAGAGUAAAGCCAGAGCAAUCUCAGAA